GCCAGGCUUGGUGGUGAACACCUGUAAUCCUAGCAACUUGGGAAGCUAAGGCAAGAGGAUUACUAGUUCAAGGACAGACUGAGCAAUUUAGUAAUAACUUGUCUCAA
rnacentral:sRNA from 1 species